AGGACGAACGCUGGCGGCGUGCUUCAUACAUGCAAGUCGAACGAGAAGCUGACUUCGGUCAGUGGAAAGUGGCGGACGGGUGAGUAACACGUAGGAAAUCUGCCCUUUGGAGGGGGACAACAGUUGGAAACGACUGCUAAUACCCCAUAUGAGCUAAGUUGAAAUACUUAUCUUGAAAACUCCGGUGCCAAAGGAUGAGCCUGCGCCUGAUUAGCUUGUUGGUGGUGUAAUGGACUACCAAGGCGACGAUCAGUAGCUGGUUUGAGAGGAUGAUCAGCCACAAUGGGACUGAGACACGGCCCAUACUCCUACGGGAGGCAGCAGUAGGGAAUUUUGCGCAAUGGGCGAAAGCCCUGACGCAGCAACGCCGCGUGAUUGAUGAAGCCCUUCGGGGUGUAAAGAUCUGUCAGUGGGGACGAAAUUUGACGGUACCCACAAAGGAAGCACCGGCUAACUCCGUGCCAGCCGCCGC
rnacentral:rRNA from 1 species